UAAGAGGUCCCACCUGCCCAGUGACUAUAAGUUUAACGGCCGCGGUAUUUUGACCGUGCAAAGGUAGCACAAUCACUUGUCCUUUAAAUGGGGACCUGUAUGAAUGGUAUGACGAAGGCUAAGCUGUCUCCCCUCUUAAGUCAAUGAAAUUGAUCUCCCCGUGCAGAAGCGGGGAUACAAACAUAAGACGAGAAGACCCUAUGGAGCUUUAGACACCAGAACAGACCACGUUAAAAACCCCUAACACACAGAAGAAACUAAAUGGAUGACUGUUCAAAUGUCUUUGGUUGGGGCGACCACGGAGCAUCAAAAAACCCCCGCGUGGAACAGAAACACACACCGUUUCUGAGAUUAAGAGCCCCCGCUCAAAGUCCCAGAAUAUCUGACCAACAAUGAUCCGGCAACGCCGAACAACGGACCCAGUUACCCUAGGGAUAACAGCGCAAUCCUCUUCCAGAGUCCAUAUCGACAAGAGGGUUUACGACCUCGAUGUUGGAUCAGGGCAUCCUAAUGGUGCAGCCGCUAUUAAGGGUUCGUUUGUUCAACG
rnacentral:rRNA from 1 species